CCUACGGGAGGCAGCAGUCGGGAAUAUUGGGCAAUGGGCGCAAGCCUGACCCAGCGACGCCGCGUGAGGGAUGAAGGCCUUCGGGUCGUAAACCUCUGUCGGGAGGGAAGAAUGGCGGUGAGGCGAAUAGUCUCGCUGUCUGACGGUACCUCCAAAGGAAGCGCCGGCUAACUCCGUGCCAGCAGCCGCGGUAAUACGGAGGGCGCAAGCGUUGUUCGGAAUCACUGGGCGUAAAGCGCGUGUAGGCGGCGAAAGCCCGAGGCUCAACCUCGGAACUGCAUUCGAAACUGCUCGGCUCGAGUCCCGGAGAGGAUGGCGGAAUUCCCGGUGUAGGGGUGAAAUCCGUAGAUAUCGGGAGGAACACCAGUGGCGAAGGCGGCCAUCUGGACGGUGACUGACGCUGAGACGCGAAAGCGUGGGGAGCAAACAGGAUUAGAUACCCUGGUAGUC
rnacentral:rRNA from 1 species